CAAACAAACAAACAAACAAAACAAAACAAAACAAAAAAAGUUCACAGCACCAGCAAGAUCUGGACUUGGAAUCUCCUUAAAUUCACAACACGGACUUGCCUGUAGAGGAUGUCAGGGGCUUGACUCUUGCCAGACGAUGCCAAUUCUUAAAAGCCUGUACCUCUGUGGAAGGAAACCAUUAAGAACUCACAAUUCCCAAACCCAGAUACUGCUAUUUUACCAUAAUGUUACCAGUUAAGUUGUAAUGUUCAUAAAUCAAUUGUUAUUGACAUUUAUUGUACUGAAGUAUUGUCUAGAGGAGUGAAAGAUGAAAGCAUCUGCAACCUGGGUCAUAAGCAGAAAAGUUAGGAAAGGUUUUUCCAUAGGUUUGGCUGAGCCUGUAGCAUGGAAGAUGCCAGCUAUCCCCUUUGGAUUUAGGGAGACGGCUCUGUCUGGGUGCUUAUCCACAUCCCAAGGAAAGCACCUGGCAGCAGGUGGAUGGAGGAGGAAGGUGUGCCUGAAAGCCGCAGGGUCACAUCUAGGGAAGGAAGUGAGUGGGCCACAACAAGCACUGCCAGCCAGUAGAGUUGGUAAUGCAGAGAAAGAAGACAAGCAAAUGCCUCUUCUAGCACCUGGUUUGGGGUUGGAACAGGACCAAGAAGACUCAGUUUAUGGUGUCCCCAGGCAUGGCUGUGGUACCCAAACUCUGCUGUUGGCAGUGCAUGAGUAAAUAAAGUUUGUCACUUCGGGUCAUAAAACAGGGUAUGGGCUUCUCUGCUGGGGGAAGCAUUGCUCUAAAAUCAUUAACUCAGGUAUCAGUAGCAGACUAACAAUGGAAAAACAAAUAUCCAAGAAGCUGAAUAAACACUCAGGUGAUUAGGCUGCACUCUGCUCAGUGCAGUUAUCUGUGCCUGAACUACCCAGAUCAGUGACAGGGUUGCCAGAGCAGCCACCUUCAGUAGAGACAUGUGGCCAAACAAUUCACUUUCACUUUCACAUCAGAUAGGAUUUCGCAUCCUUUUAAAUUCAUACCUCAUUUCAGUUUAAUGUCCCUUCAGAACAAAUAUAAUACAAAAUAUCUGAGUACAGGAGUUGUGGACUCUGAUCUGAGUUUGUCUGGAGUAAUUCUGUGUGUUGCAUCUUACCUCUCAUACUUGUGUUAUCUUCCCAAACCACCUUUAUCUCCAGGAUACUUACUAGAGAGAUGGAUCUGAUUUAUUUUUCCUAUUUACAUUAUUUGCUUUUCAUUUACUGGUAUUAAUAGCUCUUUCUAGUAAUUUAUUUAAUGAUCUUAAGUCAGAAAGGAACAGGAAGUAUGCCUAUUUCUUCCAAUGUAUUGCAAAUGUCAGAAUAGCAAAAUUCAAAGUGACUAGAUACUGAACUGAAACAUCUCAUCAAAAUGUUCAUUUUUUAAAAUUCUGCCUGUCUCAGCAUUGGUGCCUGCAGAGGAUGCAGUGAAUGAAUAAUAUUUCUAGUCUGCAGUGAAGGUAAUCAUAUAGUAGAGCUCUAAAGAAAACUCAUCCCAUGAACAUGUGAGGUUGCAGCUCUCUUUUUCUCUUGUGUACAGGCUGCAGUGGGUAAAAGAGUUGCCAAGGUAGGAACUCUGCUCAGCUUUGGCCAGUAGAAAAUUCUUAAAUACACUUUGCAAAUAGUCCCACCAUCAAGCUGUGGUUAAGCUGCAGGGAAAGGAUGGACAAGCAACAAGUUUCCCUGCUGAUAAAUUAAAAAGGAAAGUAAAUGCUCCACACAUUAACAACACAGAAAACUACCUCAGCACAAACAACAAAGGAAAUUCUUAGUGUGAGUGCAUAACCCCAUCAGCCACUCAUUACAGCAGACAAAAGCUGAGACCUUCUGCACAGGGACAGUUCUGCUGUGCCACCUGUACACUGUUCCUCUCCUGUUAUGAAUGAUAACAGGGUAUCUACCUCUUCUGCACAAAAGUGGGAAAGAGGGUUUCUUCCAAACGCUUCAAGAGCAGUUGCAGAUCAUAAAUGUGAGUGGAGGGAUGCUGGAGCUUGCUAAUACAUAUAGGCUACAUAUUUAGAAGCCAGGUCCUAAACCUACAGAAGCAAGAGCUGGGCCUCCUUUAGGCCCAGAAAAAGGAGCAGCAGGUCACAGAGGCAACAACACCGUCCUCACUGGGCAAGGUAGACCUGCAGCCCAGAUGGCUCUCUCUUUCCACCAAAGCUCCCCAGAGCGAUGCAACCAAGUUUCCUCUCACUUCUCACCCUGUCAGACACGUGUUUCUUGAGCAGGGUGGUAUAUAAAAGUACGAGCAGGGGAAGAGGAGGAAGGCUGAGGCCCAACAGGACCUGGGAAAGAGGUGGCAGGGCCAGGAGUGUGGUAAGUCAUGAAACUGCGAGUCCCCCAGGACAGAUGGUGUCUGAGGUACCUAUCUUGAAGCUACCACCACACUGCUGAAUUUUGCUUUCCCAGUAAUUCCCAGAAAAAGUAUUCUUGAGUAUCCUAUUGAGAAACUUGAAGCCAGUCCUGUUUAUUUCCCCCUGUUCAUAUGAGGAAAAUAGCCACAUACCUGGCUGAAAAUUUUCACAGAGAAAGAAUACCACCAAUUCAACAGAGUGGUCGAAUCCAUCAGUCAAUCCUUAAGAAAAGCGUAUGUGGACAAAAAAGGUCUAAUUCCAAAUGCAACUUCUGAAGUCAUGAAUACAGAUUUAAACACAUAAAUUUUGCAAGAAAUAUUCCAUGAUCAUACACUUGUUGGACAUUUGUAUGCUAUCCUGUCUAUGGACCUUAUUCAUGUUGCUAUCUUAUGCUGGCCAUUUUGUGACAUGCUGCCUAUAUUGUGUAUUAUGUUAUAUAUGUGUGAUAUAUUAUUAUUUAAAUUAUUAUUUGUACACAUUAUAACGUAAUUAUAAUAUAUAAAUUUAACAAUGAUAAUAUUUUAUAUUAUUAUUUAUAUUGUUAUUUAUAUUAUUUGUAUUUGCCUCUGAAGUUCUGUCCCUGGCCAGCCUAUAACUUUUUUUUUCCCCACCCAAAUCCCUUCUAAUAUCAGGCUAUAAAUGCUCUGUAGCGUGGCCAUUUGUAUGAUCAACUUUACUGUAAGAUAUCGAAAAAAAACAUUUCUUUUGAAUAUUUCUUUUUGACCUGUCUAUCUAUAGUUGAUAUCAUUUUCUUUCCUUCUGCAUUUCCUUUUCUUGUAUGUUAAAAUGUGUCAGUGAUGAUUAUAAUGAUUAGUAUUUUGCUUAUGUACAUAGUAAGCUAGUGCUUAUUUUAUUUUAAUAUUUUAAUAGGAAAUCGUUCUGAGUCACAACUAAGCCAUUCCUCCGUGCAACACAUCUGAGAGCACUGUCUGCAGUCACAGAACUACUUGAGAAGGACGCAGCUCCUUGGACAACCACUCCUUUCCUCUCUGGGGAGUGAAGGGAAGUUGGAAGGGAGGGACUGAAGCUGCCAAACCUACCACCACUCUUGGUCUGAAACUUACUCUCUUCAGCCUUCUGGUGUACUCUGAAAGAUCAGCACACCACCCUGAGCAACACAAGAACUGGUUCCAGCUGGCUCCCCUGCGAACUCCUUAAAAGCACAUUUCUUCACUCAUUCCACAUACCUACUACCUCCAGAUCAUGUUUCUCGUAGUGGCCUGCAAGACUGCCCCUUCCUACUUACAUCUUGUCAUGUGGCAGCCACAUGUCGAUUGUUUCCCCAUUAGCCAUGCCAAAGUUAAUAUCCUGCUCACCUAUUUGUCUCUCAGAGCUCUCCAGCCUGGGCUCUCUGCUUGCGACUUGUCCUUCAUAUGCUGCUUCUCAAAAAUCACUACCUCAUUUCUUUUGAAUUCCUUUCCCAAAACUCCAUCCCUCUUGGACAUUCAGGACAGCUGAUUAGGUCUUCCACAUCUCUAAUGAGGGAGGGUUAGUGUAGGAAUGUAAAGAGCCUGGAACUGAAGUGGUAUAUAGGAUAAUAAGAAGAGGUCGUGGACAGAAUGUGGGGGAGGAAAGGAAGUUAGCAUGCUUAAUGACAAUUAAGAUUCUAACCUGUAAUUAGCAUGGCUUUGCCCAGCACUUCAGUGAUCCCUUUGUUGUAUAAUGUAUCCCUUUCCCCAUAGUCUGACUUUGUUUUCCUGAACACUGCCCUCUUCAAAGAAGGCACAGUUUUCUUCUUCUGAGUUUGGAAAGUUAUGUGUUUAUAAAUAAUAAAUAGAAUAAUAAUAAAUCAGGGCUACUGCGCUUGCUAGCAAACAGCCAAUAUGCACCAGGUCUCUUUGAAGUCAAAGGGGCUGUUUCUGCUACUGUUUAUGCCACUUUCUCUACUUUGGAUACAGAGAAGUUGUUCUCGGUUCAUAUCACUGAGAAAUGACUUGCUAAAAUAUAAAAUCUCAGUAAAUUCCAAAAACAAUAUAAACACUACUAAAUGAUAAAUACUCAUCCUAACAGAUUUAUAUACAAAAUAUUAUAAGACAAGAAAUUCAUCUGCUUCUAGAGAAGCGACAAUAUUUCUCUGUACCACAUAAUGCCUUGGUAAGGAAAUGGCUUGCUUCUGGCCACUUGUUUAUUUUCUUCCUUAGCUUUCACUUUUGUUUACAUAGACACUAUGUUAUCGAACAUAAAUAGUGGUUCAAACCUCCCCACUGUAGUUCAGAGAACUACAAUGUUUCAGAAUAAACAGAAAAAUGAUACCCAUCUUCACUGAGUAGCAGCAAGGGGCUUAGGAUAUUGCUGGAAGACAAGCAUAAAAUAUUUAGGCUGGUUAGUAUUAAGAAAGUCAAAGAGAAUAUUAUGAGAUGAAGCAGCCAAACAGAAUUGGCAAUGAUAGUCUCAUAAUGGAAAGGUAUUUAUAGAGUGUUGCUCCCAUUGGACAGGAUGCUCCUGUCUUACUCAGGCAAACCUCCCACUGAAACUUUCAAAAGGCAUAUUGCCUGUCUAGAGAUGAGCAGGGACUUGGGGACUGAAUGAUAUCCAAAUCUUCUGCCCAUUCAUGUAAUGCCUCUCUUAACUGGUUGCAACGCAUUGUCUUGCAACUGCAGUUCUGCAACUUCACGCGGUCUGAGUGUUUCCCAUACUGGGCAGAUGCUGCUCCUAGAAAGGUUAAAGUCAGUCUUUGCUGCCCACAGAGGAGAAAAAGUUCAAACAUUCACAGUUGCUUUUUGUCAUCCUGAGAUCAACAGUGAAUUUCUGGAGCUAACAGAGGAGCAGUAGAAAGGAAAGAAUUGGUACCUCUGGUUAGGUACCACAGACCUUUAGUUCAAACUGUGCUGCUCUGCAAGCCUCAGUUUAAGCAGAGAGCUUACCUCUCUGUAGGUCUGGCUCUGGAUAUAUGUGGUAUUUUGGACCUUGACACAGGAGAAAAUCCACUCUACAAUACACUUGUGUGAAGAAUAAGUCUCAGGCAGCAAUGGUAUGAAAUGGCAAUGGGCUGCAAUUUGCUCCUUUGUCUGCUACCAGCCUCCCAGGAUGGUUCUUACUUCAGACUAGUAGCUUAGGGAACUCGUAGUACAGAGACCCCAGUAUGCAGCAUGGAAGGAUUCAAGCUACUGUGAACUGCUUACCUGGAUAACAAUAACGUCCACAUAACAUUAAUGUUGUUAACAUGGGAUGUGAACAAUCAAGAUGCAGGUCAGUAAUACAAACCAGUAACAGCAGGUUAUUGUAUAAUUGAAAACCAUGAGCUGUUUUAUGUCUAGUACUGGCCAUUAUAUAGACUUCAUGCACACUUGUUUGCUUCAGAAAUGGGACUCUAAAUGAACAUGCAAAAGGUGAUUCCUUUUUGUGUUCAGUUCCCAAAGUCAUUAAAGUGACAAUGGGUAUACAAAUUAAAGUAAGGACUUCAUUUCUCAGUAAAUAUGUAGUUUAUAAUAAUUGUAAUUUAAUAAUUGGCUUUGUAACAAAGGUCACUAGGCCAGAUGCUCUUGGUGUAACUUUGCUGACACCAAUAUAAGGAAUAAUUUGGCCAGGGUGUACCCAGACCUCUGUUGCACAAGGCAAUGAAAGGAAGCACACUCACACAAGCCUGCCAGGUGUAAAACGACAUGGUUCUGCCCAUUUACAGCCCGUUAUUGAAAAGCUAUAAGAUUAAAUUUAUACUAAAUAUUACUUCAACUAUAUAUAGAUAUAUAAUGUAAAAUUCUAUUCAGUGGAAUACACACACACAAAGCUGAUAUAAGCCUUCACACAUCCAAAAUGUUACUUACACAUUCCUUUAUUUAAUUGUAUAUGAAUUCAUUCUCUCUGACACACAUGCGUGUGAACACACACACAAGAUAAUGACCCUACCUGGUUUUACUAAUCCUGAGAAUCCCUGAAGGGCUGGGCGGAGGUCUAAAUAGCCAUCUCAUGCCAUCGCGCUGCCAUAUGUUUGUCUUUUCUACACUAACAUUUGCCAGGAAAUCUAUCAUCAUCAAUACAGCACUGUCGUGUGACAUGAGAAUAAAAUGUUUCUGUGCAGUCUCUGUCAGCGUUUUUCAGAGACGGAAGUAUCAGUGGGAACAAGGAUACUGCUGCACCCUCUUUUUAACUACCUUGAUUUUUUGGCCACAGCUAUGAUCCUCUUUGAUCCACAGUGUCUUUUUUUCUGUCAGUAACCACUCUGUUUUGGAUUAUUUCUCUCUCUCUUUUUUUUUUUUCUUUUUUCCUCCAAGUGAAGUGCCCCACAAGCUCCUUUAUUUGAAGAUUUUGCUUCAAACGCUUAAAAAAUAGGGCUUUGAGCACCUAAAUGCUUGUCUCCAGAUUCAUGGGAUGUAGUUCAUUCAUGUCAAAGGCUGAUGCCCCACUAUGCAGCAUGCUCAGCUCCAGUCUCCCACUGAAUGGACAGUACUAUUGGGAGCUGCUGCUGCAGUAAUGAGCAGAAGCCAAGUCAGAACAUGCACAGUUGUUACUACCAUAAUCGAUGGGAAUCUGGGUUAUGCUGUGAAAGUCCUAAGGCCUGGAGCUUUAUUUCUGCUGUCUAUCCAUAUACUGACUGAAUCACUCUGAUGUCCUACAUAAAACUCCAAAAAAUAAAUGACUGAACAAAG